GAACAUGAACAUCAUCAAUGCCUGUGUGGCAGUGAACAUAUCGACAUCACUGUCUGUGGCAGUGAACACAUCGACAUCAGUGUCUGUGGCAGUGAACAUAUCGACAUCACUGUCUGUGACAGUGAACAUAUCGACAUCACUGUCUGUGGCAGUGAACACAUAAACAUGAGUGUCUGUGACAGUGAACACA